CAAUAAAAUUCACAUAUAAAUAUCAUCUUAAUAAGAUCGUAGCACGGUAUAUAACUAUCUACUCCUCCGUUGGACUUAACGUCUGGCAGUGUGAAGCGAGCCAGGUAGGACUUAGUCGCAGACGCCAUUUUGGGACUUAGAAAAAUUUUGCAUCCACGACUAUGCCGUAAACGCAGUGAAGCAAACAGAUAUUAAAUAGUCACUUACUGAGUCGGAAUUCGACUGCGUUGUCGGUUGCUCGAGCUCCAUUUCUCGUACAAACGCACUGAUAGACUUUAGCGACGCAAGGGCUAACAGAAGCGAGAGAAGAAGACUGGGGGCACACACACCACUAUCCGACUAUACACUUCGCGUGAGACU